AGAUUCCUACGGGGCGCAGCAGUGGGGAAUAUUGCACAAUGGGGGGAACCCUGAUGCAGCGACGCCGCGUGGGCGAUGGAGUGCUUCGGCAUGUAAAGCCCUAUCAGCAGGGAAGAAAAUGACGGUACCUGACUAAGAAGCCCCGGCUAAAUACGUGCCAGCAGCCGCGGUAAUACGUAUGGGGCAAGCGUUAUCCGGAUCUACUGGGUGUAAAGGGCGCGGAGGCGGCCUGGCAAGCCUGAUGUGAAAUACCGGGGCCCAACCCCGGGGC
rnacentral:rRNA from 1 species